rnacentral:rRNA from 1 species
GAUGAACGCUGGCGGCGUGCCUAAUACAUGCAAGUCGAGCGAAUGGAUUAAGAGCUUGCUCUUAUGAAGUUAGCGGCGGACGGGUGAGUAACACGUGGGUAACCUGCCCAUAAGACUGGGAUAACUCCGGGAAACCGGGGCUAAUACCGGAUAACAUUUUGAACCGCAUGGGUCGAAAUUGAAAGGCGGCUUCAGCUGUCAAUUAUGGAGGGACCCGCGUCGCAUUAGCCAUUUGGUGAGGUAACGGCUCACCAAGGCAACGAUGCGUAGCCGACCUGGGAGGGUGAUCGGCCACACUGGGACUGAGACACGGCCCAGACUCCUACGGGAGGCAGCAGUAGGGAAUCUUCCGCAAUGGACGAAAGUCUGACGGAGCAACGCCGCGUGAGUGAUGAAGGCUUUCGGGUCGUAAAACUCUGUUGUUAGGGAAGAACAAGAGCUAGUUGAAUAAGCUGGCACCUUGACGGUACCUAACCAGAAAGCCACGGCUAACUACGUGCCAGCCGCCGCGGUAA